GGAUAAUGCAAGUGUUUAACAGAUGCUUCACUAUUAAAAUAUUUCCCCCCCAAGUCUCAAAUAUUGAAGAAUCUCUAACCAGAAGGCACAGAUCAUUCAUGGGGAAGUAUAACCGAAACCAGUCCUCUCCACCCCCUGGGGAUCUUCACUUUCCCAGUCUACAACUGCCUGUGACUCCAGAAAGACAAACUGCAGAUUGGCCAAGUGCCUUUCAAACUGCUUUUUACUGGAUGAAGAAACUCAACCAAGAAAAUAUAUGUCAAUUCUUGUAUAUGGGACAAUAUUAGCUGCUGUGAUUUUUAAUACUAGCAUAAAAUAUAAGAAUCUUUUUAUUACUGUGAUAUUGUUUUUUCCUAAAUGAAUGCAUAGUGUAACAAUUGGUGUCAAAAAGCACUGAAUUUUUUUCAGAUGGAUUAAGCUGGAAUAAUAAAGUAUAUCUAUGAGAUGAUUUCUGUAAACUCUGACUUGCUGAGAAAAAAGUGAAAAAGCUUUUUCUGGAAGAAACAUGGCAACUUAACCAUUAUUAAUCUGGACUAAACAAAACAGGAAACUGCUUCUUUA
rnacentral:antisense_RNA from 1 species